CCUACGGGUGGCAGCAGUGAGGAAUAUUGGUCAAUGGACGAGAGUCUGAACCAGCCAAGUAGCGUGAAGGAUGACUGCCCUAUGCGUUGUAAACUUCUUUUAUAUGGGAAUAAAAUGUUCCACGUGUGGGUGUUUGUAUGUACUUUAUGAAUAAGGAUCGGCUAACUCCGUGCCAGCAGCCGCGGUAAUACGGAGGAUCCGAGCGUUAUCCGGAUUUAUUGGGUUUAAAGGGAGCGUAGGUGGAUUGUUAAGUCAGUGGUGAAAGGUUGCGGCUCAACCGCAAAAUUGCAGUUGAAACUGGCAGUCUUGAGUACAGUAGAGGUGGGCGGAAUUCGUGGUGUAGCGGUGAAAUGCUUAGAUAUCACGAAGAACUCCGAUUGCGAAGGCAGCUCACUGGA
rnacentral:rRNA from 1 species